rnacentral:rRNA from 1 species
UACAGAGGUCCCGAGCGUUGUCCGGAAUCACUGGGCGUAAAGGGCGCGUAGGCGGCCCUGGCAGUCGGUGGUGAAAGCCCGCGGCUCAACUGCGGGUCGGCCGUCGAUACUCCCGUGCUCGAGCACUGUAGAGGCAGGUGGAAUUCCGGGUGUAGCGGUGGAAUGCGUAGAGAUCCGGAAGAACACCGGUGGCGAAGGCGGCCUGCUGGGCAGUAGCUGACGCUGAGGCGCGACAGCGUGGGGAGCAAACAGG